UACAGAGGUGGCAAGCGUUGUUCGGAAUUACUGGGCGUAAAGGGCGCGUAGGCGGCUUGGCAAGUGGAAGGUGAAAUCCCUCGGCUUAACCGAGGAACUGCCCUCCAAACUGCUUGGCUUGAGACCGGGAGAGGUGAGUGGAAUUCCCAGUGUAGCGGUGAAAUGCGUAGAUAUUGGGAGGAACACCAGUGGCGAAGGCGGCUCACUGGACCGGUACUGACGCUGAUGCGCGAAAGCUAGGGGAGCAAACGGGG
rnacentral:rRNA from 1 species